rnacentral:rRNA from 1 species
UGGGGAAUCUUGCGCAAUGGGAGCAAUCCUGACGCAGCAACGCCGCGUGGGUGAUGAAGGUCUUCGGAUCGUAAAGCCCUGUCGGAGGGGAAGAUGCUUGGUGUCGCUAAUAUCGGCAUCAGGUGACGGUACCCUCAAAGGAAGCACCGGCUAACUCUGUGCCAGCAGCCGCGGUAAUACAGAGGGUGCAAGCGUUGUUCGGAAUUAUUGGGCGUAAAGGGAGUGUAGGCGGUCCUUUAAGUCUUCUGUGAAAUCUACGGGCUUAGCUUGUAACGUGCAGAGGAAACUGAAAGGCUUGAGUGUCGGAGAGGAUAGGGGAAUACCCAGUGUAGAGGUGAAAUUCGUAGAGAUUGGGUGGAACACCAGUGGCGAAGGCGCCUAUCUGGCUGACAACUGACGCUGAGACUCGAAAGCAUGGGGAGCAAACAGGAUUAGAUACCCCGGUAGUCC